UACGUAGGGUGCGAGCGUUGUCCGGAAUUACUGGGCGUAAAGAGCUCGUAGGUGGUUUGUCGCGUUGUUCGUGAAAACUCACAGCUCAACUGUGGGCGUGCGGGCGAUACGGGCAGACUGGAGUACUGCAGGGGAGACUGGAAUUCCUGGUGUAGCGGUGGAAUGCGCAGAUAUCAGGAGGAACACCGAUGGCGAAGGCGGGUCUCUGGGCCGAUACUGACGCUGAGGAGCGAAAGCGUGGGGAGCGAACAGG
rnacentral:rRNA from 1 species